AAAUUUUUAAAAACACUUUUUUUUUUCUCUCUGUGGCUAGUCUUCCUCCUCUCCUUAUUGUGCGAUGAUCAUCCAUAUGGCUUAGCAGGUCGCACAGCGACUACCAAAAUACAAAUCCCCAGAUGUCCCGAGGCCAAGACAACUCCAGGUCGCGCUGCUUUGACAUGUACAAUCUCACCCGAGCUCAGGUUCACUCCUGUUCAGCCUUCGCCUUUCUUUUACCUACACAUGAAAGUAGAAACUGUGAGUCGACAGACUCAGUAAGAAAUGCAUAUAACAUAUCACAUAAAUUCCGACCUGUAAAUAGGCGCCCAUACACCUAUCUAUAGGGCUUAACAGAUGAGCAAGAACGUUCUAACUGCUUGUGCUACUGACCAUGAUAUCACUCCUACCAGCACUUAAAUCGUGCUGUAGGACCGGCACUAUGUUCGUGCCGCUAUGAUAGCAUCAAUAGCAUCCAAAAGUAUGAUUGGCCGUGAUAUCACUCUUAACCGAUACGAUGCACAUCUUCUUUGAACCGACACAAUGGUUGUGUCGCUAUGAUAGUACCAAAACAUACUUUUCAGGGUGGAUAACACUCUUAACCAGUACGAUGCCUGUACUGCUGAACCGACACAAUGGUUGUGUCGCUAUGAUAUCACCCAAACAUAUACAAGGAUACACACAGCAUGCAUAUAUAUAUCAUACAUAUACAUACACCCAGAUAUUUAUAUCACACGUUAUAUUCGAUUCUUUGUUUUCCGAAUUCAAGUGUCUUUGGCCAGACCUGAACGGAAUUCACGUGCUAGAUGGAUGCCACUAAUCACAAUAAUAGCAACACGGAUGAGUUGACUCGCUAAAUCACUUUCCGGGACUUUAAACUUGAAACUAAAAGUUUCCCUAUCGAUAAACUUCAUGGCAAUACCCUAAAUAUCUCAAAUUUGGCCAAAACUAGGGUUCUGGAAAUUCCCCCAACAGGCAGACCGGUUCCCAACCGGUAUCCAGGUUCUGGGUCACCAACCGGUCGGCCAGGUUGGUGCGGCCUCCCAGACCCGGAAUUCCGGUUCUACUGCUGGGAACCAAAAAUUAUCCCCCUUAAUUCAAUUCAACUCCAAACUUUACCAAACUCUCCAGUAUACCUAUACAAUGCAUACACAAUGAUUUCCAGGCAGUAAUUCACAGAAUAAACCAUUACAACUCAAGUUGCCAUUAAUGAACAAAGCUUGAGUUUCAAAACUCAAGCUUGCUUAAAACCAUUCACAAGCAUCAAAACUAGUAGCUAGGGACUUAGAUUAACUCAAUUUAACUCCAGAAAUUGAACCCCAAACAUUUCAAAACCCAACAGCCACUAAACCUAAAAGUUCAUAGUGAAACUAAACUAAAACUUCAAAAACUUAAAGGGGAGAAGAACUAGGGUUACCUUGCCUUGAUUCCUAUUGAAUCCUUUGCUGAAAACACAAAAUCUCAGCUCCCAAAACCCCUUGCCCUUGCUGCCUUCGAAGAGAGAAAGAGAGAAGAGAGAACUUCUCUUGAUUUUGAUUUUCUUUGUUUUUCCUUUAUUUUUCAAAUGAAAAUGAGCUAAUCACUUAACUCCUUCUAACUUAAAUGCUAGGUGUCAACUACUUGGGCAGGCACCUCACUCACCCUUAACCAAAAGACUAAAAUGCCCUUAGACUUACAACUAGGGUAUUUCUAAAGCUAGGGGUAAAAUGGUCAAUUUCCAUAACCCCGCUCAAUCCCGAUAAUUUAUUUUCUCUAAAUUAUUUCCCACUAUGAAAUAGGGUUCUAAACUUACCCAUGUGAUCAAUCUAACCAUCCAUCGCAUUUUCCGUUGUCGCCGAGCAAAAAUUACAAAAAUAGCAUAUUACACAUAUAAGCUAAAUAAUACCCCUAGAGUUUAAUAAAAUCUCCGGAAUUGAGAAAUUAUAACUCUAAUAUUUAUUUCUUAAAUAUUGGGGUCCACAAUUAAAUUAAUUCACAAAUAAUAAUAAAAUAAUAAAAAUUAGUGCUAAUUGCCUUUACUAAUCCACAUUACUAGAGCGAUCAUUACAAUUAUCCCCCCGUUAAUAGGAUUUCGUCCCCGAAAUCUAACCUUAAAAACUCUGGAUGUUGAGUCCUCAUAUCUGACUCUAAUUCCCAGGUGGCUUCUUCCACCUUACUGUUUCUCCAGAGCACUUUAACUAGUGCAAUAGUCUUGUUUCGAAGAACUUUUUCUUUCCUAUCCAAAAUCUGAACAGGUUGCUCUUCAUAGGAUAAGUCUGGUUGUAGUUCAAGGGCUUCAUAACUCAAGACAUGAGUCGGGUCUGACACGUAUUUCCUUAACAUAGAGGUGUGAAAUACGCCAUGGACAGCUGAUAAUGCUGGUGGUAAGGCUAGUCGAUACGCUACCUGCCCGACCUUCUCGAGUAUCUGAAAUGGCCCAAUGAACCUAGGGCUUAACUUACCCUUCUUCCCGAAGCGCCUAAUACCCUUCAUUGGUGAAACCUGCAGGAAAACAUGUUCCCCUGCCUGAAAUGUAACAUCUCUGCGCUUCGGAUCAGCAUAACUUUUCUGCCUGCUUUGAGAAGCAAGCAUCCGAGCCUUGAUCUUAUCAAUGGCUUCAUUGGUCUUUUGCACCAACUCUGGACCCAGGUACUUCCUUUCUCCUGUCUCGUCCCAAUUAAUAGGAGAACGACAUUUUCUACCAUAUAACAUCUCAUAGGGAGCCAUCCCUAUUGUACUUUGGUAGUUGUUGUUGUAGGAGAAUUCAAUUAAAGGCAAGUACUUACUCCAUGAACCCUCAAAGUCCAUGACACAGGCUCGCAGUAGGUCUUCUAAAAUCUGGAUAGUUCUUUAUGACUGACCAUCAGUCUGAGGGUGAAAGGCUGUACUAAACUUUAGCUUGGUACCCAUAGCCUUCUGAAGACUCACCCAAAAUUUCGAUGUAAACUUUGGAUCCCUAUCUGACACAAUAGAUUUAGGGGCUCCGUGGAGACAAACUAUCUCCUUCACAUACAAUUCAGCAUACUGAUCCACUGAAUAUGUAACUUUCACUGGUAGGAAGUGAGCUGACUUUGUGAAUCUGUCCACGACAACCCAAACAGAAUCAUACAUUCCCGUAGUUCUAGGCAAACCAGUUACAAAGUCCAUUGCGAUGUCCUCCCACUUCCAUUCUGGAAGGACUAAAGGUUGCAAUAACCCUGCUUAGGCCUGCGAUGUUCAGCCUUAAUCUGCUGGCAGGUUAAACACUUGGACACGUAGUCCACCACAUCUCUUUUCAUCCCAUACCACCAGAAGUAGGGUUUCAAAUCCUGAUACAUCUUGCUGGUUCCCGGAUGCAACGAAUAAGGCGUGGUGUGAGCUUCAUCAAGUAUUUCUUUCUUAAGCUCAUCAACACUAGGAACACAAACUCGAGCCUUAUAUAAUAACAUUCCACUGCUCGAGACUGAAAAGCCUCUAGGCCGACCAGCCACUACUUCAUCUCGAACUUUAACUAGCUCGGGAUCUUCCCGUUGUGCCUUUCUGAUUCUCUCCAACAGAUCAGAUUGGAGUGUUAAAUUAUGCAAUUUCCCGACCACGAACUCAAUUCCUGCACUAACCAUUUCCGAGGCUAGUUGAGGGGCUAUCAUAGUCGUAGUAUAAACUUGCCCGGGACCCUUUCUGCUUAAAGCAUCGGCCACAACAUUGGCUUUCCCGGGGUGAUACAGUAUUUCACAAUCGUAGUCUUUAACUAACUCCAACCACCUUCUCUGCCUCAUAUUCAGAUCUUUCUGGGUGAAAAAGUAUUUAAGACUCUUAUGAUCAGUAUAAUUCUCACACUUUUCACCGUAAAGAUAAUGUCGCCAUAUCUUCAAAGCAAAAACCACAUCAGCGAGCUCCAAAUCAUGAGUUGGGUAACGCUGCUCAUAAUCCUUCAAUUGACGAGAGGCAUAGGCUAUGGCUCUGUCAGCUUGCAUCAGAAC